rnacentral:rRNA from 1 species
UACGGAGGGGGCUAGCGUUGUUCGGAAUUACUGGGCGUAAAGCGUGCGCAGGCGGUUUUGUAAGCCAGAUGUGAAAUCCCCGGGCUUAACCUGGGAAUGGCAUUUGGGACUGCAAGGCUCGAGUGCGGCAGAGGAGACUGGAAUUCCUGGUGUAGCAGUGAAAUGCGUAGAUAUCUGGAGGAACACCGGUGGCGAAGGCGGCAUCCUGGACCGACACUGACACUGAGGAGCGAAAGCCAGGGGAGCAAACGGG